UUUGUAGGCGGUUGUUUAAGCUAGAUGUGAAAUCCCAGGGCUUAACCCUGGAACUGCAUUUAGAACUGAAUGACUAGAGAUAGAUAGAGGAUGAUGGAAUUCCUAGUGUAGAGGUGAAAUUCAUAGAUAUUAGGAGGAACACCAGUGGCGAAGGCGAUCAUCUGGGUCUAUACUGACGCUGAGAAACGAAAGCGUGGGGAGCAAACAGGAUUAGAUACCCUGGUAGUCCACGCUGUAAACGAUGAGUGCUAGAUAUCAGAAGUAAUUUUGGUGUCGGAGCUAACGUAUUAAGCACUCCGCCUGGGGAGUACGAUCGCAAGAUUAAA
rnacentral:rRNA from 1 species